rnacentral:rRNA from 1 species
UACGUAGGGUGCAAGCGUUAAUCGGAAUUACUGGGCGUAAAGCGUGCGCAGGCGGUUGUGCAAGACAGAUGUGAAAUCCCCGGGCUCAACCUGGGAACUGCACGGGAGACUGCCGGGCUUGAGUUCGGGAGAGGGAAGCGGAAUUCCGGGUGUAGCGGUGAAAUGCGUAGAUAUCCGGAGGAACACCGGUGGCGAAGGCGGCUUCCUGGACCGACACUGACGCUGAGGCGCGAAAGCUAGGGGAGCAAACGGG